CCUACGGGUGGCAGCAGUAGGGAAUUUUCGUCAAUGGGCGCAAGCCUGAACGAGCAAUGCCGCGUGAACGAGGAAGGUCUUCGGAUCGUAAAGUUCUUUUCUCAGGGACGAAGCAAGUGACGGUACCUGAGGAAUAAGCCACGGCUAACUACGUGCCAGCAGCCGCGGUAAUACGUAGGUGGCAAGCGUUAUCCGGAUUUACUGGGUGUAAAGGGCGUGUAGGCGGGACUGCAAGUCAGAUGUGAAAACCACGGGCUCAACCUGUGGCCUGCAUUUGAAACUGUAGUUCUUGAGUACUGGAGAGGCAGACGGAAUUCCUAGUGUAGCGGUGAAAUGCGUAGAUAUUAGGAGGAACACCAGUGGCGAAGGCGGUCUGCUGGACAGCAACUGACGCUGAGGCGCGAAAGCGUGGGGAGCAAACAGGAUUAGAUACCCCAGUAGUC
rnacentral:rRNA from 1 species